rnacentral:rRNA from 1 species
GAUGAACGCUGGCGGCGUGCCUAAUACAUGCAAGUCGAGCGAACAGACGAGGAGCUUGCUCCUCUGACGUUAGCGGCGGACGGGUGAGUAACACGUGGAUAACCUACCUAUAAGACUGGGAUAACUUCGGGAAACCGGAGCUAAUACCGGAUAAUAUAUUGAACCGCAUGGUUCAAUGGUGAAAGACGGUUUUGCUGUCACUUAUAGAUGGAUCCGCGCCGCAUUAGCUAGUUGGUAAGGUAACGGCUUACCAAGGCAACGAUGCGUAGCCGACCUGAGAGGGUGAUCGGCCACACUGGAACUGAGACACGGUCCUGACUCCUACGGGAGGCAGCAGUAGGGAAUCUUCCGCAAUGGGCGAAAGCCUGACGGAGCAACGCCGCGUGAGUGAUGAAGGUCUUCGGAUCGUAAAACUCUGUUAUUAGGGAAGAACAAAUGUGUAAGUAACUAUGCACGUCUUGACGGUACCUAAUCAGAAAGCCACGGCUAACUACGUG